GUAAAUUAUAUAAAUUUUUCUUAAAAUUAGAGAUAAAUUAUGUUUAUAUCUAAUAGUUUGAAAAAUAUAUAUUCAUCUUCUUGAGCUUUAUUUUUAUCCAACAUUUUAGCUCAUAACUUCAUAGAACAUUAAUCAAAUCAUUGAUCUUAAAUAUAAUCAAAUGCCACGUGAGAAAAUCUUUAAAAAUGAUCAAUAUAAUCUUAGGUGAUAUAACAACCAUCCAAACACAUAAGAAAAAUAUAUAUUUUUUUUUCCAUUCAAAAAUAAUUUCAAUUUUUUUUUACAUGAGGUAAUCGGUUCCACUAAUGCUGUUAAUUUGACUGAGUAUAAUGAAUAGAUUCUACAAAUUAUUAGAUGUAAAUGUAAUAAAUAUAAAUUUUAAAAGAUUUUUAUAUUCUACUCUUGUUAUUUAGUUGAAGAGGGGCUCUAUUAUUGAGAGAGAAUGUGUACUUGGUGGUCCCAUGUGAUGCUACAUGACACGUAUCUUUGCUUGCAAGACCAUAAGUCAAGACUGAUGGAGAAAAUCCACACAAAAAGAAAUUAGUGUUUAAUUUUUUGUCGGUCCUUUUUGAACUGCUGCUAUGUAAGUUUAUAGGCCUUGAAAUAAUUAAAAAGUUAUGGAAACACCCGGCAAUAUUUUUAUUAGUUAUAUUUAGAUCAAACUAUGCUUUUACUCCCUCGAUUUUACGUAAGUUCCAUUCAGACAUUUUCUAAUUUAAAUAGUUUUAGUCAGCUCUCUCAAGUUACUUGAAUGAAUGAUCCAGUAUCAUUCUUCCAUCCAUCUCCAGCAACAUAGUUUGGAGGAAUUGUAUCAUAUAUCUAUCACAUGAUGUUCUUCUAACCUUUUGGGAUCAAAUAUGUUAGCAGAAUUUGUUUGGAGUGAAAGCCUUUGACACCAAGCGAACUUGAAAUCACAUGACCUUCAUGAUUGUCUCACACAAUAGAGAAACAAGAGUCAAGAAGGUUAGAUAGAGAAGCCAACAGAGGGAGAUAUUGGGUGAGAGAUGGGGACAGAAUGGCAGAAGGAAUCAAGCGAUUAUGAUACCAUUGGAACGAACCCCAACUACUGGGUAGAGCCACUUCAGUUCUUGCCAGAAAUAUUUAUGGAAGGUGAAGCAUGAUUGAUGUCAGAGGGAAGCAGUAUUAUGACACCUUUUGGGAAUGGAAGAUGGAUCUGCUCUGGCACUUUGUUAGCACUACAGCUUAUCCAGCCAUCUCUUGGAGCCAUGAUGCAGUGCUUCAAGUGGAAGGUUUUGAUGGUAGUGGAACCAUGCACAUGAUUGAGGGGCCAGCCUUGACACUUCCAAGGGCACAGCCACUAGUGUGCACCACAGAGCCAUGCUUGAAUCCAUUGCCAUUUUCAUCAAAAAUUUAUUGUCGGCUUUACGAAAUUGAACUAAUCUUGAUCGGCAACACCAGCUUUGCAAUUUUGAUUAGUUAAGCAUGUUUUAAGCUUUUAACAAAAUUUAGUCAUUAUAAGAAA